UGUCUUAAUGUACUCUAAAUAUGUCUGGGAAUAAGCCUUUAAAAGCAUAAAGCUGUCCGGUACUUAUUUUCAAAGUAAUACGCAAUUUAGUGAGUGCGUGUCAGUGGUAAACUUUAGUGAGUGGUAAACUUUAAACGCUUCUACUGAAAAGUCGUGUUUUCAAAAUCGCCGUGCAGUCACAGACGUGAUCCUGGGCCUGGAGACUGCACGGCGCAAAGUUUAUCCCCCAAAACACGACUCCAUAUUAUUGAUCAUAAAUGGGCUUAAUUACAAUAUUUUUCGAAAAACUUGACUGAUUUUCAUUGCCCAAUAAUUUCCUAAUAACAUGCAAAAAGAAUCGCUAAGAUUCAUUCAAUUCCCUACUUGCAAUUUACUCCCAAAGAUAGGCCUCAUUUUAGGCCUUUUAAUUGUAUUUCCCCCCUUAAUAAGAAUUAUAAGUUUUUUUUGUUCCCUUAUACAUUAUUGUGAAAUUCCAGCAAACAGCUUCGAUGUCACCGAAAGGAUGUUCCGCUUGGUCGCCCUUUGACCCAUGAUUGUUAAUUAUUUUAACCAACUAUUCAAAUUGUUAGCUCUACUAAUUUCAAGUACGUAUGCGCCAAGAAUUAAAAGGAGGGUGCCAUAUUCCAGCACAAGACGUAGAUUUAAGCGAGCAGCUCUUUGAAUUUUUGUUCUUUUUGUGUGUAGUAACACAGUGUCACUGUCACUUUAUGUUUAUGUUUAUUUUUUAAAUAUUUAGCACUACAGUCCACCCAGGGGCGCCAAAAUGAGAUUGAGAUGAGAUUGAUUUAUCUCACACUCUAAAAAAAAUAACAAAAAAGGAUGGCUGCCGAAUAUUUAAAAAAGUCGAAAAACGAGAACGAAAAAAUGAUCUUGCCUCAUCAACGUUAUAAUUUCGAUUAUAUUUUUCUCUAAUCUUAAGCCUAACUUAUCUAUUGCGGGGAAUUCACACAAGAACGAAUAUGAGCUUUCGCUCCCGCUCCACCCUAAGCUAUCUUAGAGUAAAUUUAGAGAAUGAUACAUUGACUCACGCUUGAACAACGCUUUGAAAUAGUGCAAUUUUAUUUCGAAAAUAAUGGUUCUGUGCAGAAUAUGUAUGUCCUUUGAGAAAUACGUAUCGCGGACUAUCUUCUUUUUAUCGUCGACAAAAUCGUCCAUCAGCGCAAUUAAUUCGAUUAACAAUGGAACGUUUUCGCACCACGCCAACUCUUAUUGAUAACUUGCACCCCCAGAGACGGCGUACAGUGCAUACAGAAGAAGCUAUUGAUACUGUAAAGCGCAGCAUUGAGGAAGACCCGAAUGAGUCCAUCCGCCAUCGAUCGUAUUUUGCGGAAGGAUCUUGGUUUGGGUGCCUUCAAAAUCCGACUCGUGCAAGAAUUAAAGCUAACCGAUCAUCAAGCAAGGCGUGGAUUCGUCGAAUGAAGCCAAAAUGAGAUUUCCAUUGUUCCCGAUUUUCAUAAGCGAAUUUUGUUUAGCGAUGAAGCGCACUUCUGGUUCUAUGGCUACGUCAACAAACAAAACUGCCGCAUUUGGAGCGAAGCUAGCCCUCAAGUGUAUGUCAAAACACCGUUACAUCCAGAAAAACUAUCUGAUUAGCUUAGUUUGGGGCUAUGUAAAGUCAUUGGUCUAUUCGGAUAAGCCACAAACGCUUGACCAUUUGGAAGACAACAUUCGCCGUGUUAUUGCCGAUAAUAUGUACGACCACAAAUGUUCGAAAAAGUCAAAUUUUCGAUUCAUAGAAAUCAGCAAAACCGUUGAAGACCAUUCGCCCUAUGAAUCCAUGAAAAUCCGAAAAACUUUCAACUCCGGUUGACCCUUGGAAGGGAGAGAUCACAGGAACAUUUUUUAAGAAAUUUUCUUGGAACAAUUUUUUUUCAUAGAAAAUGUAGAUAGGAAAGCGUAUAUUUUCAUUUGUUUAAGAGCUGUUGAAUAUAUCUUAGCAUAUACCGAAUACAUCUGGUAUAUACAUACGUCUACAAAAAUCGGUAUUACAAAUCUAUCAUCGAUCGGUCACACUUACGUGUGUUACCGCUUCUUCUUUGUAAAACUUGAAACUGGCUGGUUGUGUGUGCAAACGAAAAGAAUAAAAUUAUUACAAAUUGAAUAACUUAA